GUGGGAUUUAGGCUCCUUGCCCACCGGUGCCCUCCGCACCGGGACCACAUCCAGACAGUAAGGGUGCACGGAGCCCCUCCGUCAGACAGAGCGGACGCAGAGGCGAACUGGAUGAAGAGCCACCCACAGGCAGUCAGAUGUGGCUCAAUGAGCAUUUCAGCCUUUAAGCAAAAGCACCCAGGCCCGCCCCUGACUGAGUUCAAGAAAGGACCACCCGGCCCUGGGGGACCCGCAAGGCACACCCCAGCCCUCUGCUUGUGUGACCGGGUACCGCCACCUCCCGCCACGCGACCGGUGAGGAGACUGAGGCCCCGAGAGCUUCGGAGACCCACCCGAGCCGCAGGCCGGCCCGUGCGGAAGAUGAACGCGGCGCCCGAGUCCCGGCCCGAAAACCAUCAGUUACUGUGAAGCCGCCCUCAAGAGGUCCCCGUGGACGGAAUGCGUGAGGGCCAGUGUGGGUGAGCUGGACCCUGCUUAGCCUGGUCCGCAGGAGGC
rnacentral:lncRNA from 1 species